rnacentral:lncRNA from 1 species
UUAAGUUGAUAAGCGUGAGAGUGCUUUGAACAUUCUUUCGUGGCCUUCCACCGUGGUAGGCUCCGAUCGUUUGUGACUCGUACACCGGCUUCACCCUAUCAUGGGGGAGUACAAAGUGCGUGCUUACACUCAGGAGGAGUCUAUAUACAUACUUGAUGAUGUGAGACGUAGGCAACGCGAAUGAUCAACAUCAUAUCAUUAUGAGGUUGUUCUUGAACCCCUACCCAAACUUGCAUGGUGGGAAUGACUUAACUAAGUGCAAUGGAGCCAACAUCAUAUCAUUGUGAGGUAACAUUCUCUAGAGGCCAAAUAAGAUGGGUACUUGCAAGAGAUGCAAAUGAGUAAGCGUACUCUCUCAUUAUUAUUAAUGCUAGCCAACAUCAUAUCAUUGUGAGGUGGGCUUGGUAGUAGUGAGUCUCCCAUACCCUCCUAAGAGUUUCCUCCAAAACUCUCGAAUUCCAAUGAGGGAUAUGAAAUUUGCCAAAAAUAGUGGGUGGUGCUAUUUGAUUUAAAGACCCGGAUCAAAUGGCUUAAAAUCAAUCAAUUUAUAUUCAUUAUGUAUUUAUUUACCAAUAUAUUUGCAAACGCUAUCCAACACUUGACAAAUAAAAGCCGAAAGCUUUAGUUUCUGGACUUGGUACUACAAAAUCAUAGAUUGUCUUUAAUGGCUUGUAAAUGUACCUAAGUAGUCUCAUCAUCACAAUCUUCCUAUUGAUAAUGUAUCAUUAGAAGAAUAUAUUAGAAAAAGUCUAUCAUAAAGAGGACAACACUUUUAAUGUCAUAAUUCUUCAAUUACAAUUUGUUGUAUGAAGAAAUAAGAGUUGCUUUGAACAACUCUUAGUUAAAUGCAAACAUUAGUGCUUGUUUAUUUGUUACAUGAACAAGGAACUUUAGAAGUAAGCACAAGGGCAUGGACACUUUAUGUGCCAUGAUUCUUCA